UGGGGAAUAUUGCACAAUGGGGGAAACCCUGAUGCAGCGACGCCGCGUGAACGAAGAAGGUAUUCGUAUCGUAAAGUUCUGUCCUAUGGGACGAUAAUGACAGUACCAUAGAAGAAAGCUCCGGCUAAAUACGUGCCAGCAGCCGCGGUAAUACGUAUGGAGCGAGCGUUGUCCGGAAUUAUUGGGCGUAAAGGGUACGCAGGCGGUUUAAUAAGUCGAAUGUUAAAGAUCGGGGCUCAACCCCGCAAAGCAUUGGAAACUGAUAAAAUUGAGUAGUGGAGAGGAAAGUGGAAUUCCUAGUGUAGUGGUGAAAUACGUAGAUAUUAGGAGGAAUACCAGUAGCGAAGUCGACUUUCUGGACACAAACUGACGCUGAGGUACGAAAGCGUGGGGAGCAAACAGG
rnacentral:rRNA from 1 species